UUUUCUGGCUCACAUCUGAAGCAAAGUAAAUAAUUCUACAGAAUUAAGGAGCACAAACCUUGAGGCAGUUAAGGUGUGUGCCUCACACAACAAAGGCAUGUGCCCCUAUAAACUCCCUCACAAUCAUUGCCUUUAGGCCUUUUUCCUUGCCUCAAUUGGGCUUUCUUAAACCAUGGCUCUGAUGAAUCUUUCUUUGUGAAUUUCGAUUUUGUCCCUUUAUUAGAUGCACUAUCUUGAAUUCUAACUUAUGCACGGGUCAUAUGAGCCUAUGAAAUAUGAUUUGGUGGGAAAACAAAUCAAAAAAUAAAAUCGUACAUCUUUGUGACUUUGUGCUUAGUUCAAAAAAUAUUUCAUCAUGAUCAGGAGAACAAGUGGAGAAUAAUCACUGCCUUAAAGUGAAUUUGAGUUUAAUCACUUGCAUUUCUAUAAUAUCAUGCUAAAUUUUGCAUCUUAAUUUCUUUGCAAGUCCUACAUUCACUAAAAUUACAUUUCAUGUAGUCAGUUCAACUCUGACUAGUUUUAGAUCAUUUUCUUUACAGACACCCUAUCGAGAGCUCGAAGGGAGAAAUGAGCCUUUGUCUAAUCUCAUUCGUCAGGGAAGUAUCUUAGUCAAAACCAAUACACCAACGGAUCAAAUCUUGUAUUACCAUGACUCAAUUUCGUCAUAAGUAAAACAAACAGAAAUAAUCUUGAAGUGUUCUCUUCAUUCUAGCCUCCAUUUGGGCUUCAUUUUUCCAAGAACUCAUUUUUCCAAAACUCAUUUUCAACUAAAUACUCUUCCAUAAAAUAAUUUUACACGUAAGCCCCAAACAUUUCAUUAUCUUUUAACCACACAUUUUUCAAAAACUCAUUAUUCUAAAACACGUCUUCCCCCGAAAAUGGGGGUUGACAGGGGCUUAGUCGUCCGAUCAGUGAAAACUCUCUAGACUUUUCUGCCUAGUUUACGCUGACGGUAUAUUAGCUGGGUACCAAAAACCAAUGCGACCUAAAUAUGGAUUACUCUGUUUAAGCCCCAUCAUUUACUCAUUAAAAUGAAAAAUAUGACCAUUAUUCAUCACAUUAAGUUACAAGAUUUGACUUUUUAUCUCUUGUGUGGGGUCCAUAACAGCUAUAUUUUUCAUUCUUAUUUUUACAAUAAUGUGACUCAAACGGGGGCUUAAAAUGCAUAUUGAAACGAAAGAAUCUAUUAACAAGAAAAAGAGAGUUCAUAAUUAUAUGUGAAAUGAAUAGAUAAGAAUUGCAUUUUGAUGCAUCUUCCAUGGGCAAUUAUUGUAUUAUGAUUGACCUUAUAAUGUUAAUCUUUUAUUAAGCCAGGUACAACAGUAAGCAUCUGUCUGUUCAAUCAAAUCAUCUAAUUUUUUAACUAACAGAUGCUCAAAACAUUUUGCAGGCAGAGAAGAUUGGCCCAAUAGAUAUGUUGAUGUUAGAGAUGUUGCUCAUGCACAUAUUCUAGCAUUUGAAAAUUCUUCAGCCAUUGGCAGAUACUGUCUCGUUGAAUCAGUUACACAUUCUUCAGAAGCUCCAAAGGUUUUAAAUAGGCUUUACCCUUUCCUUUACCCUUCCCUCAGUCUCUCUGCAAAUACCACAGAUAAUCAUGCUGGCACCCCUCCUUACCAAAUAUCCAAAGAGAGGGCAAAGAGCUUGGGCGUCAAUUUCACUCCUCUUGAGGUCAGCCUUAAGGACACUGUUGAAAAUCUCAAGGAGAACAAAUUCCUCAGCUUCUAACAUUUACAGUGGUGCCCAUUUGAUUGGCUUGAAUUGUACUGUAACAAGAGUUUCAAAAAUGUGUAGAAUUUAAAUUUUCCUUGUAAUAAAUAAGUUCGAAUAUUAAUAAAUCUUGUCUAUUUCAUUACUUGCUAUUUUUUAAUACAAUUCCAUCUUUGUUUG